rnacentral:misc_RNA from 1 species
AAAAUAAUCCUACCUUUGUGAAUUUUGUUUGUUUGAAUAAUUUUUUUUUUAAAAAAUUAUUGGAGUCUUUCCCUUUAGAGUUUGCUUUUGAGUUUGUAAAAGAAUUCGAAAACAUCUAAAGGGGAUGGUCAAUAAUUUUUUUUGAAAAAAGACAUUUUUUAAAAUUAAACUUUUUGUAUUCAUUUGUCUAAAAAUUAUUUUUAUAAUAUAAAAACAACUUUUGACAAUGGAUCUCUUGGUUCUCGCAACGAUGAAGAACGCAGCAAAAUGCGAUAAGUAGUGUGAAUUGCAGAAUACGUGAAUCAUCGAAUCUUUGAACGCAUAUUGCACUUUUUUAGUUUACUAAAAAAGUAUGUCUGUUUGAGUAUCAGUAAAAUAUUCUCAUAAAAAUCAUGUGUAUUUUUAUGGUUAUGAGUGUUUUACAGCGAUACAAGUUGUUUCACUUUAAAUUUUUUUUUAAUAUUGAAAUUUUUCUAAUUUUAAUAAUUAAAAUUGGAUAAAUUUUCCCGUCAAAAGGAAUAACCUAAACAAUUUUAAACGAUUAAUUUUAGCAAAAUUUUCGUAAAAAAGGAAAAUUUUUAUUAAAAUAACUUGAUCUCAAAUCAGAUAAGAGUACCCGCUGAACUUAAGCAUAUCAAUAAGCGGAGGAAAGAAACUAACAAGGAUUCCCUUAGUAACGGCGAGUGAAGCGGGAAGAGCUCAAAUUUGAAAUCUUCAAGGUCUUACCUUGGCGAAUUGUAGUUUAAAGAAGUGUUUUCUGCUGAAGUUUUGGUAAAAGUUCUUUGGAAUAGGACAUCAUAGAGGGUGAGAAUCCCGUAUUUGACCAUUAUUUUCAGCUUUGUGAUACACUUUCAAAGAGUCGGAUUGUUUGGGAAUGCAGUCCAAAAUGGGUGGUAAAUUUCAUCUAAAGCUAAAUAUUGGCGAGAGACCGAUAGCGAACAGUACCGUGAGGGAAAGAUGAAAAGAACUUUGAAAAGAGAGUUAAACAGUACGUGAAAUUGUCAAAAGGGAAGCGUUUGACACCAGUGUUGUUUUCUCGAAGAAUCAAUUAAAAAUGGCUCGAUUUUGUAUUGCUGAGACCUUAAAAGCUCACUGUACAUUUUUCGUGUCUUUUUAAUGCACUUUUCGUUUAACAAGUCAACAUCAGUUUCUUUUGUUGUAAAAGGGUCAUUGGAAGGUGGCUUUCUUUUCGGAGAAAGUGUUUAUAGCCUUUGGCCUCUGCAAUCGGAGAGACUGAGGUCUGCAGCGUAGACUCUUCGGGGUUAGAUACAUUUGUGCUAAGUUAUAGCUUUUAUAGACAACUUGUUGACUAUAAUUAGUCUUGUAGCUUACUCGCUUAUGCUAUUUUA